GGGGAAUGGGCGCAGCUGAUCAGCCAUGCCGCGUGUGUGAAGAAGGCCUUCGGAUUGUAAAGCACUUUUGUUGGAACGAAAGGGAUUGCCCUAAUACCUCAAAGUUUUGACGUUACCGGCAGAAUAAGCACCGGCUAACUAUGUGCCAGCAGCCGCGGUAAUACAUAGGGUGCAAGCGUUAAUCGGAAUUACUGGGCGUAAAGCGCGCGCAGGCGGUUAGUUAAGACGGAUGUGAAAUCCCCGGGCUCAACCUGGGAACUGCAUUGGAGACUGGCUGACUAGAGUGUGGCAGAGGGGGGUGGAAUUCCCUGUGUAGCAGUGAAAUGCGUAAAUAUGUGAAGGAACACCGAUGGCGAAGGCGACCCCCUGGACUGAUACUGACACUCAUGCGCGAAAGCGUGGGGAGCAAACAGGAUUAGAUACCCUGGUAGUCCACGCCCUAAACGAUGUCUACUAGUUGUUGGGAGGGUAACCUCUUAAUAGCGCAGCUAACGCGUGAAGUAUACCGCCUGGGGAGUAACGUCCCAAGAUUAAAACUCCAAUGAAUUGACGGG
rnacentral:rRNA from 1 species